rnacentral:rRNA from 1 species
UACGAAGGGGGCUAGCGUUGCUCGGAAUCACUGGGCGUAAAGGGUGCGUAGGCGGGUCUUUUAAGUCAGGGGUGAAAUCCUGGAGCUCAACUCCAGAACUGCCUUUGAUACUGAGGAUCUUGAGUACGGGAGAGGUGAGUGGAACUGCGAGUGUAGAGGUGAAAUUCGUAGAUAUUCGCAAGAACACCAGUGGCGAAGGCGGCUCACUGGCCCGUAACCGACGCUGAAGGCACGAAAGCGUGGG